CGAAUUUUUACCGCCUCUCAUAGAGUGGCGGGGUAGCGACGUUUUGAGUAAAUGAUACCCACCCGCCGGCGAGGCGGGUUUU
rnacentral:sRNA from 1 species